CAGCAGCCGCGGUAAUACGAAGGGUGCAAGCGUUAAUCGGAAUUACUGGGCGUAAAGCGUGCGUAGGCGGUUUGUUAAGUCUGUUGUGAAAUCCCCGGGCUCAACCUGGGAAUGGCAAUGGAUACUGGCAAGCUAGAGUGUGUCAGAGGAUGGUGGAAUUCCCGGUGUAGCGGUGAAAUGCGUAGAGAUCGGGAGGAACAUCAGUGGCGAAGGCGGCCAUCUGGGACAACACUGACGCUGAGGCACGAAAGCGUGGGGAGCAAACAGGAUUAGAUACCCCGGUAGUCCCUGUCUCUUAUAU
rnacentral:rRNA from 1 species